rnacentral:rRNA from 1 species
CUAUGCGCCUUGCCAGCCCGCUCAGAAACUCAAAGGAAUUGACGGGGGCCCGCACAAGCGGAGGAACAUGUGGUUAAUUCGAUGAUACGCGAGGAACCUUACCUGGGCUUAAAUGGGGAGUGACAGCUGCGUGAAAGGUGGUUUUCUUCGGACACUCUUCAAGGUGCUGCAUGGUUGUCGUCAGCUCGUGCCGUGAGGUGUCGGGUUAAGUCCCAUAACGAGCGCAACCCUUACUGUUAGUUGCCAGCGGGUAGAGCCGGGAACUCUAACGGGACUGCCACCGUAAGGUGAGAGGAAGGUGGGGAUGACGUCAAAUCAGCACGGCCCUUAUGUCCAGGGCUACACACGUGUUACAAUGGCCGGUACAAAGGGCAGCUACCCCGCGAGGGGAUGCUAAUCUCGAAAGCCGGUCUCAGUUCGGAUCGAAGUCUGCAACCCGACUUCGUGAAGUUGGAUUCGCUAGUAAUCGCGCAUCAGCCAUGGCGCGGUGAAUACGUUCCCGGGCCUU